GGAUUAGAUACCCUGGUAGUCCACGCCGUAAACGAUGGACGCUCGGCGUUUGCGGGCUAUCAACGUCCGUGAGCGCCUCAGCUAACGCGGUAAGCGUCCCGCCUGGGAACUACGGCCGCAAGGCUAAAACUCAAAGGAAUUGACGGGGGCCCGCACAAGCAGCGGAGCGUGUGGUUUAAUUCGACAACGCGCAGAACCUUACCCAGACUUGACAUGUAUCUGCAUGGUCUCGAAAUGGACCAGCCUUCGAGGGUGAUACACAGGUGCUGCAUGGCUGUCGUCAGCUCGUGUUG
rnacentral:rRNA from 1 species